GCGCGAGUGGCGGAAUUGGCAGACGCGUACGGUUCAGGUCCGUAUGCCCGAUAAGGGCAUGGGGGUUCAAGUCCCCCCUCGCGCA
rnacentral:tRNA from 1 species